rnacentral:tRNA from 1 species
CAGGGUGUAGUUUAUCUAAAAUGUUAAAUUUGGGUUUUAAAGAUGGAUAUAUUUUCUUUCCCUGA